rnacentral:rRNA from 1 species
GAUGAACGCUGGCGGCGUGCCUAACACAUGCAAGUCAAGCGAUUCUCUUCGGAGAAGAGCGGCGGACGGGUGAGUAACGCGUGGGUAACCUGCCUCAUACACACGGAUAACAUACCGAAAGGUAUGCUAAUACAAGAUGAUAUAAGAGAUUCGCAUGGAUUUCUUAUCAAAGCUCCGGCGGUAUGAGAUGGACCCGCGUCUGAUUAGCUAGUUGGUAAGGUAACGGCUUACCAAGGCGACGAUCAGUAGCCGACCUGAGGGGGUGAUCGGCCACAUUGGAACUGAGACACGGUCCAAACUCCUACGGGAGGCAGCAGUGGGGAAUAUUGCACAAUGGGCGAAAGCCUGAUGCAGCAACGCCGCGUGAGCGAUGAAGGCCUUCGGGUCGUAAAGCUCUGUCCUCAAGGAAGAUAAUGACGGUACUUGAGGAGGAAGCCCCGGCUAACUACGUGCCAGCCGCCGCGGUAA